GCUGAAAGCAUCUAAGCGUGAAGCCCGUCCCGAGAUGAAGUAUCUCAUUCCUAUAAGGAAGUAAGACCCCUUGAAGAAGACAAGGUUGAUAGGCUGGAUGUGGAAGCACAGCAAUGUGUGCAGCUGACCAGCACUAAUCGGUCGAGGGCUUGACUUAAGU
rnacentral:rRNA from 1 species